rnacentral:rRNA from 1 species
AGCGAACGCUGGCGGCAGGCCUAACACAUGCAAGUCGAACGGAUCCUUCGGGAUUAGUGGCGGACGGGUGAGUAACACGUGGGAACGUGCCCUUUGGUUCGGAACAACUCAGGGAAACUUGAGCUAAUACCGGAUGUGCCCUUCGGGGAAAGAUUUAUCGCCAUUGGAGCGGCCCGCGUCUGAUUAGCUAGUUGGUGAGGUAACGGCCCACCAAGGCGACGAUCAGUAGCUGGUCUGAGAGGAUGAUCAGCCACACUGGGAUUGAGACACGGCCCAGACUCCUACGGGAGGCAGCAGUGGGGAAUCUUGCGCAAUGGACGAAAGCCUGACGCAGCCAUGCCGCGUGAAUGAUGAAGGUCUUAGGAUUGUAAAAUUCUUUCAGCGGGGACGAUAAUGACGGUACCCGCAGAAGAAGCUCCGGCUAACUUCGUG